rnacentral:rRNA from 1 species
UGGGGAAUCUUGCACAAUGGGCGAAAGCCUGAUGCAGCGACGCCGCGUGGGGGAUGAAGCUUUUCGGAGUGUAAACCCCUUUCGACCCGGACGAAUACCUCGCAAGAGGGGUGACGGUACGGGUAUAAGAAGCCCCGGCUAACUUCGUGCCAGCAGCCGCGGUAAUACGAGGGGGGCAAGCGUUGUUCGGAUUUAUUGGGCGUAAAGGGUGCGUAGGCGGUUUGGCAAGUCUUGUGUGAAAUCUAUGGGCUCAACCCAUAGCCUGCACGAGAAACUACCGGGCUUGAGUAUUGGAGAGGUGAGUGGAAUUUCCGGUGUAGCGGUGAAAUGCGUAGAUAUCGGAAGGAACACCUGUGGCGAAAGCGGCUCACUGGACAAUAACUGACGCUGAUGCACGAAAGCUAGGGGAGCAAACAGGAUUAGAUACCCUGGUAGUCCUAGCCCUAAACGAUGAUUGCUUGGUGUGGCAGGUACCCAAUCCUGCCGUGCCGAAGCUAACGCGAUAAGCAAUCCGCCUGGGGAGUACGGUCGCAAGACUG